ACAACGGGUGGAGCCUGCGGUUUAAUUGGACUCAACGCCGGGCAGCUCACCGGAUAAGACAGCUGGAUGAUAGCCGGGCUGAAGACUCUGCUUGACUAGCUGAGAGGAGGUGCAUGGCCGUCGUCAGUUCGUACUGUGAAGCAUCCUGUUAAGUCAGGCAACGAGCGAGACCCACGCCAACAGUUGCCAGCAUGUCCUCCGGGAUGAUGGGGACACUGUUGGGACCGCCUCUGCUAAAGAGGAGGAAGGAAUGGGCAACGGUAGGUCAGCAUGCCCCGAAUUAUCCGGGCUACACGCGGGCUACAAUGGUCAGGACAAUGGGUAUCGACACCGAGAGGUGGAGGCAAUCUCCUAAACCUGUCCUUAGUUCGGAUUGUGGGCUGCAACUCGCCCACAUGAAGUCGGAAUCGCUAGUAAUCGCGGAUCAGCACGCCGCGGUCGAAUACGUUCCCGGGCCUU
rnacentral:rRNA from 1 species